rnacentral:rRNA from 1 species
UACGAAGGGGGCUAGCGUUGUUCGGAUUUACUGGGCGUAAAGCGCACGUAGGCGGAUCGAUCAGUCAGGGGUGAAAUCCUGGAGCUCAACUCCAGAACUGCCUUUGAUACUGGCGACCUUGAGUUCGGGAGAGGUGAGUGGAACUGCGAGUGUAGAGGUGAAAUUCGUAGAUAUUCGCAAGAACACCAGUGGCGAAGGCGGGUCUCUGGGCCGAUACUGACGCUGAGGAGCGAAAGCGUGGGGAGCGAACAGG